UACGUAGGGUGCAAGCGUUAUCCGGAAUUAUUGGGCGUAAAGGGCUCGUAGGCGGUUUUGUCGCGUCGGGAGUGAAAUCCACUGGCUUAACUGGUGGCUUGCUUUCGAUACGGGCAGACUGGAGGUAUGCAGGGGGAGAACGGAAUUCCUGGUGUAGCGGUGAAAUGCGCAGAUAUCAGGAGGAACACCGGUGGCGAAGGCGGUUCUCUGGGCAUGUCCUGACGCUGAGGAGCGAAAGCCAGGGGAGCAAACGGG
rnacentral:rRNA from 1 species